rnacentral:lncRNA from 1 species
UACCUAAUGAAGUAAUGUCUGUAAAAUGCUUUGAGACGCUGGGUGAAUGGAGCCGGACCAAAGACAUGCCAAAGGUCUAACAUCACCAUAGCAGCUCUGCAAGCCCUUCUGUUCUUCAUUCUGGUUCUGGAGCUGCAGCUCCGGUUUGCCCAGAUUUUGCUGAGGUCAGUAGCCUCCUGGAGAGAGCCAGAGGCCUGGGAUGAACCAGCAGAAGCUGUGAGGAGCCCAUUACUCAGCCAGUGAGUCAUGACACAAGCUUGCGAGAGGCAGAACACAGCCUGUGCGGACGUGCCCCCCAGCAGAGGAGCCCCAUCACGGAUGGAGUCAGAUCAGGAAGGCUUGGAGCUGUUGUGGUCAGCACGGCGCCGGGGAGCAUGUCCCCGCAGCACAAAGAGGAAGUUUCAGAUGGGUCCUCCAAGCAGAGCAGCUGCCACCAGUUCCAGUCAAUUCCCCAUUCAUCUCAGCACCA